AUGGCCGACGCCGACGAGCUGGCCGCCGCGUGCCAGGACUCCGACGCCGCCGCCGGCACCAGCAACCUCUUCCAGGUCAUGCGCGCCGUCGAGGCCACCAUCCGCCACCAGCUUGAGGAGAACAGCCGGCUCAAGGAGGAGCUGAUGCGCAAGACCCGGGAGCUCGACAGAAUCCCAAAUGCUGAUAAUGGAAUUCUUCAACUUGCCCGCUUCUUGGAUGUUGUGCCCCGACUGGAGACGUUGCAUUUGGAUAUGGUAUAUCUGAACCUUGACGACGGUGGGAGUGAUGAGAGGUUGAUUGGAGCAAAAUGGUUCCAUCUAUCAACUAAGAGAAAAAAGGGUUCAAUCCUUCAUCUGAGGGCAAAGUAUGUUGUUGACACUGCUAAAGAAUUGAUGGCCAAGCCUGGUGGAGGCGCAAAAUGGCUUGCCUUAUUGCGUGACCGGGAACUUCCGGAGCUCGAGUUCAGGGUGGAUAAAUCGUACAAGCUGACUGUGCCUACAACUGGGAACCCGAUAUAUGCCCGAAUUAAGUACACUCUUAGAUUUGAUAAUAUAUUUCUGUGA
rnacentral:rRNA from 1 species